GUGCUCACUUUGGCUGCACAUAACUAAAAUUGAAAAAAUACAGAGGAGAUUAGCAUGGCCCCUGUACAAGGAUGGUACGCAGAACAAGGAACUAGAGACAACUCUG